rnacentral:rRNA from 1 species
CCUACGGGAGGCAGCAGUGAGGAAUAUUGGUCAAUGGCCGCAAGGCUGAACCAGCCAAGUCGCGUGAGGGAUGACGGUCCUAUGGAUUGUAAACCUCUUUUGUCAGGGAACAAAGGUCGCCACGUGUGGCUUUUUGCGUGUACCUUACGAAAAAGCAUCGGCUAACUCCGUGCCAGCAGCCGCGGUAAUACGGAGGAUGCGAGCGUUAUCCGGAUUUAUUGGGUUUAAAGGGUGCGCAGGCGGAAUGUAAAGUCAGCGGUAAAAUUUCGGGGCUCAACCCCGUAGUGCCGUUGAAACUGGCGGGCUUGAGUGAGUGAGAAGUAGGCGGAAUGCGUGGUGUAGCGGUGAAAUGCAUAGAUAUCACGCAGAACUCCGAUUGCGAAGGCAGCAUACCGGCGCAUAACUGACGCUCAUGCACGAAAGCGUGGGUAUCGAACAGGAUUAGAUACCCUUGUAGUC